GACGAACGCUGGCGGCGUGCUUAACACAUGCAAGUCGAACGAAAAGAGGGAAAGAGCCUGCUCUUUCCGGAAUUGAGUGGCAAACGGGUGAGUAACACGUAAACAACCUGCCUUCAGGAUGGGGACAACAGACGGAAACGACUGCUAAUACCGAAUAAGUUCCAAGAGCCGCAUGGCCCAUGGAAGAAAAGGUGGCCUCUACCUGUAAGCUAUCGCCUGAAGAGGGGUUUGCGUCUGAUUAGCUGGUUGGAGGGGUAACGGCCCACCAAGGCGACGAUCAGUAGCCGGUCUGAGAGGAUGAACGGCCACACUGGAACUGAGACACGGUCCAGACUCCUACGGGAGGCAGCAGUGGGGAAUCUUCCGCAAUGGGCGAAAGCCUGACGGAGCAACGCCGCGUGAGUGAUGACGGCCUUCGGGUUGUAAAACUCUGUGAUCCGGGACGAAAAGGCAGAGUGCGAAGAACAAACUGCAUUGACGGUACCGGAAAAGCAAGCCACGGCUAACUACGU
rnacentral:rRNA from 1 species